rnacentral:rRNA from 1 species
AGGAUGAACGCUGGCGGUCUGCUUAACACAUGCAAGUCGAACGGAGUAGAAAUACUUAGUGGCGGACGGGUGAGUAACGCGUGAGAAUCUACCUUCAGGACGGAGACAACAGUUGGAAACGACUGCUAACCCCCGAUGUACUGAAAAGGCAAAUAUUUAUAGCCUGAAGAAGAGCUCGCGUCCGAUUAGCUAGUUGGAGAGGUAAAAGCUCACCAAGGCGACGAUCGGUAGCUGGUCUGAGAGGACGAUCAGCCACACUGGGACUGAGACACGGCCCAGACUCCUACGGGAGGCAGCAGUGGGAUUUCCGCAAUGGCGAAGCCUGACGAGCAAGACCGCGUGGGGAGAAGGCUCUUGGGUUGUAAACCCCUUUUCUCUGGGAAGAACGCAAUGACGGUACCAGAGGAAUCAGCAUCGGCUAACUCCGUGCCAGCAGCCGC